UACAGAGGUGCCAAGCGUUAGGCGGAAUCACUGGGCUUAAAGCGUGCGUAGGCGGCUUGGUAAGUACCUUGUGAAAUCCCACAGCUCAACUGUGGAACUGCUCGGUAUACUGCUUAUCUUGAGCCACUUAGGGGCUGUCGGAACAAAUGGUGGAGCGGUGAAAUGCGUAGAUAUCAUUUGGAACGCCAAAGGUGAAAACAGACAGCUGGGAGUGUGCUGACGCUGAGACGCGAAAGCCAGGGGGGCGAACGGG
rnacentral:rRNA from 1 species